GAAGAAUUCCUCCACCGGUGAUGGCUCUCCACCCAAAGUGACACCGACCAAGGCAGCGCAUGGCGCCCAAGGGGGCGGUGGCACACUGCCCGAGGUAGUAGUGAGCCUCUACUAGGUUGGUCGCGCACUACAUGCCUAGCUUGCAGGCGCUGGCCUACCUUGCCAUGCGUAGGAGGUAGAUUGCGCACGCGCAGGGCCUACAACACACAAGGCACUGCGUGUAGGCCUUCUACACGCAUGGUCAAAAGCGUUGGUUUAUUCGCGCAGGCUUACUGCAUAGACAACGUGUGCACAAGUGCGGUGCGUGGCCCUGUCUGCACGCGAUGUGCAUGGACUGGCCUAUCUGUGCCCGACGUGAUAUGCGCAUAGACCGGCACUAUGCCCCGUGCGGAUGGGACGUGCACAUAAAAUCAAAUAAAAUUUAGAAU
rnacentral:lncRNA from 1 species